GAAACCGAGUCUUAACCGGGCGUUAAGUUGCAGGGUAUAGACCCGAAACCCGGUGAUCUAGCCAUGGGCAGGUUGAAGGUUGGGUAACACUAACUGGAGGACCGAACCGACUAAUGUUGAAAAAUUAGCGGAUGACCUGUGGCUGGGGGUGAAAGGCCAAUCAAACCGGGAGAUAGCUGGUUCUCCCCGAAAGCUAUUUAGGUAGCGCCUCGUGAAUUCAUCUCCGGGGGUAGAGCACUGUUUCGGCUAGGGGGCCAUCCCGGCUUACCAACCCGAUGCAAACUGCGAAUACCGGAGAAUGUUAUCACGGGAGACACACGGCGGGUGCUAACGUCCGUCGUGAAGAGGGAAACAACCCAGACCGCCAGCUAAGGUCCCAAAGUCAUGGUUAAGUGGGAAACGAUGUGGGAAGGCCCAGACAGCCAGGAUGUUGGCUUAGAAGCAGCCAUCAUUUAAAGAAAGCGUAAUAGCUCACUGGUCGAGUCGGCCUGCGCGGAAGAUGUAACGGGGCUAAACCAUGCACCGAAGCUGCGGCAGCGAACGUAUCACCCAAGACAACUUUACGGAGUUGACGAUUGACGGAGCGAAGCGACGUCAAAGCGUUCAUUAAAGUCGAGUUGGCUUAGGGAUACGUUCGUUGGGUAGGGGAGCGUUCUGUAAGCCUGUGAAGGUGUGUCGUGAGGCAUGCUGGAGGUAUCAGAAGUGCGAAUGCUGACAUAAGUAACGAUAAAGCGGGUGAAAAGCCCGCUCGCCGGAAGACCAAGGGUUCCUGUCCAACGUUAAUCGGGGCAGGGUGAGUCGACCCCUAAGGCGAGGCCGAAAGGCGUAGUCGAUGGGAAACGGGUUAAUAUUCCCGUACUUGGUGUUACUGCGAAGGGGGGACGGAGAAGGCUAUGUUGGCCGGGCGACGGUUGUCCCGGUUUAAGCGUGUAGGUGUGUGUUCCAGGUAAAUCCGGUU
rnacentral:rRNA from 1 species